rfam:Triticum aestivum genome assembly, contig: Triticum_aestivum_CS42_TGACv1_scaffold_050408_1BS
CAACUAAUCCCUCUAUCCCAAAUUUCUUGUCUUAGAUUUGUCUAGAUACGGAUGUAUCUAAAACUAAAAUGUGACUUGAUACAUUCGUAUCUAGACAAAUCUAAGACAAGAAUUUUGGGACGGAGGGAGUACUUU